rnacentral:rRNA from 1 species
AUGUGUAAGUUUAAAGACCAAGUAGGAUGAAACUGCGGACGGCUCAUUAUAACAGUAAUAGUUUCUUUGGUUAGUAUGUACAAGGAUAACUUUGUGAAUGAUAAAGCUAAUACUUGAGACGAUCCGGGGAGUAUUUAUACUUUUCGGCCCCCGGCCGCAAGGUUGGGGAGAAAUGACAUUCUCUUGUGAAAAAGGAUGCCACGACAAUUGAGGAAAGCGACGCUUUUUACAAGUAACCAAUGGGAAUUUCUGAUCUAUCAAUUUGUUGGUAGUAUCGAGGACUACCAAGAUUAUAACGGAUAACGAGGAAUUGGGGUUCGACAUCGGAGAGGGAGCUUUACAGAUGGCUACCACUUCUAAGGAAGGCAGCAGGCGCGUAAAUUACCCACUUUCGACAUGAAGAGGUAGUGACGACAAAUAACUCUUGG